rnacentral:antisense_RNA from 1 species
CUUGAUCGAACCCAGCCACAACGGCGUAUCCCGACCCUGGCCAUAGGUCGCCAACAGCGCCUGCGCCUC